UACGGGGGGGGCAAGCGUUGUUCGGAAUUACUGGGCGUAAAGCGCGUGUAGGCGGCUCUUCAAGUCGAGUGUGAAAGCUCCAGGCUUAACCUGGGAAUUGCGCUCGAUACUGUUGAGCUAGAGUGUGGAAGGGGCUACUGGAAUUCCGUGUGUAGCGGUGAAAUGCGUAGAUAUAACGGAGGAACACCUGCGGCGAAGGCGGGUAGCUGGGCCAACACUGACGUGAGACGCGAAAGCUAGGGGAGCAAACGGG
rnacentral:rRNA from 1 species